CGUAACUAGGAAGUUUGUACAGUAACCAGGAGAAACGGAGGUGUGUGUUGAUUUCUGUUUUUAACCGUUAGUCUUUGUGUUCAGUCGAUUAAGGCCUCUUUCAACUGAACAAAUCUUUCACAGAACUUUCCAGAACCUGCAGUUGUAGACUGUGAAGAGGCUGAACAAUGGCAUUACCUACUCUUUCCUCACACUGGCCCGGACGAAUCCGUCCUCUGGAUCGUCAGUUGGCGCGUCAGAGAGAACAGGAGGCACGACGUCUCCAACAGUGGCAGGCGCACUCACAAUAUUUUAAAGAGCAGCAUGUUCGCAGCAGUAAACAGGCACACUGGAGCUCCCGUCAGUCCUAUCAGCAGAGCAUGUCGGCGUUCCGACGUGAGCGCCUGCAGGAGGAGAGGAGGAGGAGCGUGGAGGUGCGCAGGGAGCGUCUGAGGAACAUGCUGCAGGAGGAGAAUGCACAACUGGAGGAUGAGCUCCGAGCCUCCACCCGGGACAGGGGUGCCACCCUCAGGCAGCAGCAGGAGAGGGCAGAGGAUCUGCGAGCAGCCAGAGAAGAGCGCAGGAAGAAGAUCGCACAGGAGCUUCUGAAGGAGACCUGGAAGAAGAACAAUCCAGAACUGCGUAUGGUGGAGUCAGAGCUGCAUAAAGAUCACGUGGUGAGCCAGUGGCAGGUGCAACAGCAGCACAAAAAACAGGUAGAGGAGCAGAACAUGCAGGAAAGGCUGCGUUUUGAGAACGAGUACGAAAGAAGCAGACGGGAGGCACUGGAGAGGAUGAAGGAGGAGGAAGAGAGGAGGAAGGAAAAAGAGAGGGAGAGAUUCGAGUUUCUGCGUCAACAGAUGGAGGAGCUCAAAGUCAGAGAUGAGGAGAGUCGGCGUCUGCAGCAGGAAGAGGACGCUCUGCUGACCAAGCGGUUGGAGGUGGAGCAGCUCGAGGAGGACAGGAGGAGAGCCGAGGAAAGCCGGAAGAAAUCCGAGUUCGGACGUUUACUGAGCCGUCAGUAUCGAGCACAGCUGAAGAGACGAGCACAGCAAGUCCAGGAGGAACUGGAGGCGGAUCGGAGAGUCCUGGCUGCGCUGAUGGAGGGUGAGGAGGAGGAACGGAGGGUGGAGAGUGCGAGGAGGGAGAGGGCGGUGGCUGAUGUGGCAUGGAUGAAGAGAGUUCUGGAGGAACAGCUGCAGCUGGAGAGAGAGCGAGAAGCAGAGUUUGACCUGCUCUACAGAGAGGAGGCACAGAGGGUGUGGGAUGAGCGUGAGGCUCAGUGGGAGAGGGAGAGGAGAGCCAGAGAAAGACUCAUGCACGAGGUGCUGAAUGUGCGUCAGGAGCAGCUGCACGAGCGGAUGGAGGAGAAGCGCAGGGCUCGGGAGGAGUGCGAGAGGAGGAGGGUGGAGCUUCUACAGCAGCUGGAGGAGGAAGAGGAGGAGAAACGACAGCAGAGGGAGGAGCAGGAGCAACAACGCACCACACGCAUGCAGGACAUCAGCACUCAGGUGGAACAGAGACGCAGGGAGAAGUGGGAGGAGCAGCAGAGGCUCGAACAGGAGGAGGCGGAGCUGAGGGAGGGGCUCAGGCUUGAGGAGGAAGAGCUUCGGCUGGAGACAGAGAUGAUGACUCGGCGUGGCUACGAGGAGAGGAUUCACAGCAGGCCUCGUUCAGCCUGGACAUGAGGAGACGAGGACACACCGACCCUCACACUGAUGCCCUCCGGUGUAGUUAGUGGUAUUUCUGGCAGUAGCUCAGUGGCUCAGAUCAGGGCUUGGUGUGUAUGUAGCAAGAUUUCAGCACAAAGUCUUUAAAUUCCACAAGCACAGAAUAUAGAUUCUCAGUGCUAAUGCACAUCAACAUCUAUCUGGGUCAUCAACAUCUAAGUCCACAUUUUUAUUCUUCAUCCUCAGCAAACAAGAGAACCUCCUUAUCAUUAUUAUGAGCAUCAAGCAGAAGGAACUCGUAUCCCAUCCAUAGCUGUGUAAUUCAUCAGAGCAACACCAGAAGGCAGCAGAUCAUUGUGAAUGGAUCUACAGUUAGUGACCUCCAGGGUUUGUUUGUGAGUGAAUCCCACAACCUCAAAGUGAAGGCCAGUGUUUGUGCUCAGUGUCACAAGCAGGGAGAAGAUGGAGAUGAAACCUGAUGUACAGUGAAUGACUUAGAAGAAUUUUCUGCCAGGAUGGAAAAGAUUCUCAGAAACAAGAGAUCCCUGUUAACUUGAUGGCCAUCACAUUAACAUGAGUAAGCCGUCAGAGCAGCGUUUCGAGCCCUGAGAUUUCUUCAUGAUUUACAUUUUGACAUCUGAAGAGGAACAGACAUGAGCUAAUUAACGACUCCAACACAGAGGCGGUGGAGUAGAACAAGGAGAGGAGGAGGAGUGAGAGAGUGAGCGAGUGAGAGAGAUAGAGAGAGGGGGAAAGUAAGACAGGUGUAGUGACACUGUCACUGUAGGGUUUAAGCAUUGAGACACACUCUCACCUCUCUCUUUAACACCUCCUCUAUGUAAAGAAUAAAAGGUGUUGCUGAUGUAGUAACAUACGGAUUUGGUGAUGUUGUUACUGUAAACACCCUGUUCAUUAUUUUCCUUCUAACAGCACAUCCUGUACUGUUUUAUUAUUCUGAUGUUAGCAUGAAGCAUAAGCUCCUCUGUUCUAAACGUCUACAGAAAGUUUGACCUGUAACAGAACGCCUUCCCCCAAUCUGUUCAGGACCCAUAAAUUAGGUGUAAUUAGCAUCCUGUUGUGUCAACAAGCAACCUGCCUCAGGACCAGCAUCUGGCCAGGGUUUUGAAGUCCACUUAAUCUAAUAACGUUCAGCAAAAUCUGGGAAAACCUGCAGAAUAUUCAGAUUAUUAAAAAACUUUUUAUUUCA